UACGUAGGGUGCGAGCGUUAAUCGGAAUUACUGGGCGUAAAGCGUGCGCAGGCGGUUGUGUAAGACAGAUGUGAAAUGCCCGGGCUCAACCUGGGGACUGCAUUUGUGACUGCACGGCUGGAGUGUGUCAGAGGGGGGUAGAAUUCCACGUGUAGCAGUGAAAUGCGUAGAUAUGUGGAGGAACACCGAUGGCGAAGGCAGCCCCCUGGGAUAACACUGACGCUAAUGCACGAAAGCGUGGGGAGCAAACAGG
rnacentral:rRNA from 1 species